GACGAACGCUGGCGGCGUGCUUAACACAUGCAAGUCGAACGAUGAAGCUAGAGCUUGCUCUGGUGAAUUAGUGGCGAACGGGUGAGUAACACGUGGGUAACCUGCCCCGAACUCUGGGAUAACUGCUGGAAACGGUAGCUAAUACUGGAUACGACCUACGAAGGCAUCUUCUGUAGGUGGAAAGAAUUUCGGUUCGGGAUGGACUCGCGGCCUAUCAGCUUAUUGGUGAGGUAAUGGCUCACCAAGGCGACGACGGGUAGCCGGCCUGAGAGGGUGACCGGCCACACUGGGACUGAGACACGGCCCAGACUCCUACGGGAGGCAGCAGUGGGGAAUAUUGCACAAUGGGCGCAAGCCUGAUGCAGCAACGCCGCGUGAGGGAUGACGGCCUUCGGGUUGUAAACCUCUUUUAGUAGGGAAGAAGCGAAAGUGACGGUACCUGCAGAAAAAGCACCGGCUAACUACGUGCCAGCCGCCGCAGUAA
rnacentral:rRNA from 1 species